CCUACGGGUGGCAGCAGUGAGGAAUAUUGGUCAAUGGGCGCGAGCCUGAACCAGCCAAGUCGCGUGAGGGAAGACGGUCCUAUGGAUUGUAAACCUCUUUUGUCGGGGAGCAAAAGACGCCACGCGUGGCGUUCCGAGAGUACCCGAAGAAAAAGCAUCGGCUAACUCCGUGCCAGCAGCCGCGGUAAUACGGAGGAUGCGAGCGUUAUCCGGAUUUAUUGGGUUUAAAGGGUGCGUAGGCGGGACCUUAAGUCAGCGGUAAAAUUGCGGUGCUCAACGCCGUAGAGCCGUUGAAACUGGGGUUCUUGAGUGAGCGAGAAGUAUGCGGAAUGCGUGGUGUAGCGGUGAAAUGCAUAGAUAUCACGCAGAACCCCGAUUGCGAAGGCAGCAUACCGGCGCUCAACUGACGCUGAGGCACGAAAGUGCGGGUAUCGAACAGGAUUAGAUACCCUAGUAGUC
rnacentral:rRNA from 1 species